GAUGAACGCUGACAGAAUGCUUAACACAUGCAAGUCUUUGGUGAAGCUGUGCUUGCACAGCCUAGCCAAGGCGGACGGGUGAGUAACGCGUAAGGAACUUGCCCUGCAGUCAGGGAUAACAGACGGAAACGACUGAUAAGACCUGGUAAAGUCAGGCGGACUCAUGUCCAGCCUGAUGAAAAGAGAUGCUGCAGGAGAGCCUUGCGUCCUAUUAGCUUGUUGGUGGGGUAACGGCCCACCAAGGCAAUGAUAGGUAGCCGGCCUGAGAGGGUGGACGGCCACAAGGGGACUGAGAUACGGCCCUUACUCCUACGGGAGGCAGCAGUGGGGAAUAUUGGACAAUGGGGGCAACCCUGAUCCAGCAAUUCUGUGUGCACGAUGAAGGUUUUCGGAUUGUAAAGUGCUUUCAGAAGGGAAGAAAAAAAUGACGGUACCUGCAGAAGAAGCGACGGCUAAAUACGUG
rnacentral:rRNA from 1 species